GAUGAACGCUAGCGGCAGGCUUAAUACAUGCAAGUCGAGGGGCAGCAUGGUGUAGCAAUACACUGAUGGCGACCGGCAAACGGGUGCGGAACACGUACAGAACCUUCCUUCGAGCGGGGAAUAGCCCAGAGAAAUUUGGAUUAAUACCCCAUAGUAUAUUGAAAAGGCAUCUUUUUAAUAUUAAAGAUUUAUCACUUGAAGAUGGCUGUGCGGCUGAUUAGGUAGUUGGCGGGGUAACGGCCCACCAAGCCUGCGAUCAGUAACUGGUGUGAGAGCACGACCAGUCACACGGGCACUGAGACACGGGCCCGACUCCUACGGGAGGCAGCAGUAAGGAAUAUUGGUCAAUGGACGAAAGUCUGAACCAGCCAUGCCGCGCGGAGGAUGAAGGUCCUCUGGAUUGUAAACUUCUUUUAUAUGGGACGAAAAAAGGCUUUUCUAAGUCGUCUGACGGUACCAUAUGAAUAAGCACCGGCUAACUCCGUGCCAGCCGCCGCCGUAACAC
rnacentral:rRNA from 1 species